rnacentral:lncRNA from 1 species
AGCGCGCGAACAGCCACUCGUCCUCCUUGCGCAGCCAACGCAGCAGCCGCGUCAGCGCAGCGAUGGCCGCCGCCUUCGGGAGCAGAGGGCUGAGGGACGCGUACAGCUCGAAGCGCGGCGUCACCCAUGCCAGCAGGGUCUCGCAGGCGGUGACGCGGUAGAGCAGCCGCAGGGGGCGCUGUGCGCAGUGCAGCCGUCCCUGCAGGCCGUGGUACAGAGCGAACAGCCGCUGCUGCUCCGUG